CGGGUCGUUGCACCAGUGGGGAAUAUUGCGCAAUGGGCGAAAGCCUGACGCAGCAACGCCGCGUGAGUGAUGAAGGCCUUCGGGUCGUAAAGCUCUGUCGGGAGGGAAGAACACCUUCGGGUCUGACGGUACCUCCCGGGGAAGCACAGGCUAACUCCGUGCCAGCAGCCGCGGUAAUACGGAGUGUGCAAGCGUUGUUCGUAAUUACUGGGCGUAAAGCGCGCGUAGGCGGCUUGAUAAGUCAGAUGUGAAAUCCCUCGGCUUAACCGAGGAACUGCAUUUGAAACUGUCAGGCUUGAGUACGGGAGGGGGAAGCGGAAUUCCCAGUGUAGAGGUGAAAUUCGUAGAUAUUGGGAGGAACACCAGCGGCGAAGGCGGCUUCCUGGACCGAUACUGACGCUGAGGCGCGAAAGCGUGGGGAGCAAACAGGAUUAGAUACCCGGGUAGUC
rnacentral:rRNA from 1 species